CCCUUAGAUGUUCUGGGCCGCACGCGCGCUACACUGUUCGACGCAGCGAGUCUUAACCUUGACCGAAAGGUUUGGGUAAUCUUCAGCAAAGUCGAACGUGAUGGGGAUCGAUCAUUGCAAUUAUUGAUCGUGAACGAGGAAUUCCUAGUAAGUGCAAGUCAUCAGCUUGCGCUGAUUACGUCCCUGCCCUUUGUACACACCGCCCGUCGCUACUACCGAUUGAAUUGUUUAGUGAGAUCUCUGGAUUGACGCUGGCUAGGGGGCGACCCUUGGCCAGACUGCUCGAGAAACUGCUCAAACUUGAUCAUUUAGAGGAAGUAAAAGUCGUAACA
rnacentral:rRNA from 1 species